GUAAGUAAAAGUCGUAACAAGGUUUCCGUAGGUGAACCUGCGGAAGGAUCAUUAUUGGAUUUUGAAACUUCAGGCUGCUGCUGGCUCUCCUCGGAGGGCAUGUGCACGCUUGUUGUCCAUUAUUUCUCCCACUGUGCACAAAUUGUAGACCUUUCAGUAGGCCUAUGUUGUUUUUCACAAUCUCUGAAUGUAAUAGAAUGGUUUUGAAUCUUGGGAAAUACAAUACAACUUUCAGCAACGGAUCUCUUGGCUCUC
rnacentral:misc_RNA from 1 species